AGGGUUUAAAGCGACUGGGGAUUAGUUAUGGUACCGUCCCCGAAAGUUUCCUUCGCUCCAAGCUCAGGAUGGAAAGCCUUUCUCUUUUACUCAAACUUCCUCUCUCCAUGGCUGCUCAAUAUCUCCUCCUUUUAUUCCUCUGCGAGCUGGAGCCAGGGCGGCGGCGACGGUGCUGGUGGUGGAUGAAAUGGGGCGCGGGAAGAUCGAGAUAAAGCGGAUCGAGAAUUCCACCAACCGGCAGGUGACCUUCUCCAAGCGCCGCAAUGGGAUCAUUAAGAAGGCGAGAGAAAUCAGCAUCCUCUGCGAAUCGCAGGUCUCCGUCGCCAUAUUCUCCAGCUCCGGGAAGAUGUCCGAGUUCUGCAGUCCCUCCACCACGUUGCCGAAGAUUCUGGAGAGGUACCAGACGAACUCCGGCGAAAAGCUCUGGGAUGCCAAGCAUGAGAGUCUGAGUGUUGAAAUUGAGCGAGUUAAGAAAGAAAACGACAACAUGCAGAUUGAACUAAGGCACCUUAAGGGUGAGGAUCUCAACUCCCUUUACCCAAAGGAAUUGAUUCCUAUUGAGGAGGCACUCCAGAUUGGGCUCACCAGCGUAAGGGAAAAGCAAAUGGAGAUCUGGAAGAUGCACAAGAAGAAUGUUGGCAUACAUAUUCCCUCGAGUUUUAAUUUGUUGAAUGUUUUUUUUUUCUCUUAAUUUUGUUUCUGCUCUUAAUGGUUUUCAUCUCUCGAAUAGGAAAAAUUUCUAGAGGAGGAGAACAAGCAACUGACUUAUAUGCUGCACCAUCAUCAAUUGACAAUGGAUGGAAGCGUUCGCGAGCUAGAGCUUGGAUACAAAGAUAGGGAGUUUGCGCCGCAAAUGACUAUGGCCUUCCGCGUUCAACCGAUCCAACCUAACUUGCACGAAAGCAAAUGAUGAUGAGAUCUCAUCUUCAACGAUUUCUAACAAUUUAAGAACAUCAACAAUUAAGAAGAGGAAGGAAUCAGUUGCCGGAGGUGAUAGGGUAACCGAUGCCGUGCCUACUCGUCGGAAACACCACGAAGAGCAAGCUGCAAAGCACGCCGACGCCCAGCGGCACUAUGUCCAACGCCUCCUGAACCUCCCUGCUCGGCCGCGGGUAGAAGCAACUGACGACGUUCCGGUCCCGCAGCGCCACCGCCGCGAACACCAGCACAGACAGCGCCGCGUGCACCCAGUCCCUGGUCCGCCGCCUGUACUUGGUCAGAUCCGGCAGAGUCCCCGCGCCGCCCUCGUCCACGUAGUUGAAGAGCCACAUACCACGGCGCGUCGCGAAGCCAUAGUAGAGCUGGCCGUCGGUCGACCGAAAGCUGUCGGUGAAGCUGGCGAGGAAGCAGGAGGCGGCGAGGAGCAGCAGCAGCCCGCGCGUCAGGAGGACGGUGACGGCAUCGCAGGCGCCGUUGUUGGUGAAGACCGGCACGAGGAGCUGGAAGGCGAGCAGAGUGCCGGUGGGCAGGAGGUUGGCGAGGUGGGCGGUGGUCGCUAGCGCUUGAGAUAUGGCUUGCUGGGACGACGAGGAAGAUGGCGGAGCAACCGCCGGCGGCGGCUGGAGCGGUGGUGGUUGCUCCUGGAUUUGGUCUUCGUCUUUCUUUUCUUUGGAUUUCCUAAACUUGGUUUGAAGGGACAUGGCCAGCUCUCUUACAAUCUGCCUCCUUCAAAUUUUGGAUGAUGUUGUUGAUGAGACAUUGAAAUAAAUAGAGGAAUAUACUUGUUCCACAGCA